ensembl:lncRNA
AUCUCUGGUUAGAGAUCCCUUGCUUGUGGAGUUUUCCUUAGGAGCCUGGAGCUUCAGAGACUGAAACAGCCUCAAAUUGAACAGCUGCACCAUCAGCUUGAAGUGAACCCAUGGGACCAUAACCUUCCUUAACCAAGGACUCAUCUUUGUACUGUUCCUCUUAAACCACACAUAGCUGAGGGGGCAGAUGUAACUUCAGGAGAACAUCUUACUGAAAAAUACUUCAUGAGCAAUAAAAAAUAUUUCUGCAGUGAUUUCAAGGGGUAUAUAGCAUAGUGUAAGGGAACAGGAGUGUGUGCCAGUAGUGCCUCUUCAGAAUGCUACCAUUUUGAGUGGAUGGUUAUUUGCUGCUGCCAAAGUAGCCUUGUCAGUUGUACUGGUUGGCUGUUAAUACUUAUCUAAAGGGACAGAUAUAAUAUGAGAUUUUCUCUGUAACACAGCGUGAUAUUUAUAAACUUUUAUAACAAGGUUUCAACCUUAUUCUACCUUUGGAAAUCAAAUAUACAUUAAAAAUAUAAAUUGUACUGGACUUCUUAGCUCUGACAGCAUUUUCCGAGUGGCUCAUGCAGUGCAGCGUGGUGAUUCUUUAAAAGUACUUACAGCAGGGAUAUUAAAUUAAUGGUUCAAUAUAAUUGUGUGUAUUUGUAUGGGGUGGGAAGAAGCCUGAUUUCCUAAGGGAAAUCCUUCAGUGUUUUAAGCAUUACUAACAUGGUUUGUCACUUACUGCAAAUAAAAAUAAUUAAACUAUAUUUGGGAUAUGUAAAGUUUAUCUAAUCUUUUCAGUCUUCAUAGACAUCGACCAAAAGAAGUCUUGUUAAUGAUGCUAUUACUAGAGAAAGGAAAGAAAGCAGAAGCAGAUAGCAUCCAACACUAAAAGCAGUUGUAUUUUUUUUAUUGCUGUGAAAGUCCUUCCUAUGUCACUUAAAAAAAAAAAAAAAAAAGGAAUAUUACAUUCCUUUGCAGACCACUAUCUUCAAAAGUGCAAGCUAUUUAUGUGUUAUUUGUACCAAUAGGAAUUUCUGUGUUAGAUGUCCUAGAGUUAGUCAAAACGCUGGAUUUAUUUAUUUAUUUAUUUUUCUGCUUUUAAUGAAAAUAAUGGAAGUAUUUUUCUCACUAAUUACAAAUAUUUCUGCAAAUAAAUGCUGCUGGGCAAAAUCUUGA